GAUGAAGAACGUCAGUGAAAUGCGAUAAGUAAUGUGAAUUGCAGAAUUCAGUGAAUCAUCGAAUCUUUGAACGCACAUUGCGCCCGCCAGUAUUCUGGCGGGCAUGCCUGUUCGAGCGUCAUUUCAACCCUCAAGACCCCUUCGGGGGACUUGGUGUUGGGGACCGGCACAGGGGCCUGCCUGCUUGUCUUGCAGCGCCCUCGCCGCCCCCGAAAUGAAUUGGCGGCCUCGUCGCGGCCUCCCCUGCGUAGUAGCACAAACCUCGCAACGGGAACGUGACGGCGGCCACUGCCGUAAAACAACCCAAUUUUAUUAGAGUUGACCUCGAAUCAGGUAGGAAUACCCGCUGAACUUAAGCAUAUCAAUAAGCGGAGGA
rnacentral:misc_RNA from 1 species